rnacentral:rRNA from 1 species
UACGGAGGGUGCAAACGUUGCUCGGAAUUAUUGGGCGUAAAGCGCACGUAGGUGGCUCGUUAAGUCGGAUGUGAAAGCCCCAGGCUCAACCUGGGAAGUGCAUACGAAACUGGCGAGCUUGAAUAUGGAAGAGGGUCGCGGAAUUCCCGGUGUAGAGGUGAAAUUCGUAGAUAUCGGGAGGAACACCAGUGGCGAAGGCGGCGACCUGGGCCAAUAUUGACGCUGAGGUGCGAAAGCGUGGGGAGCAAACAGG